rnacentral:ncRNA from 2 species
GACAAAUGCUAGGGGAGCUAGUAUAGCUAGCUGAGAUUUUGGACAUAGCAAUCCAUUGACCCUUAAACCUGAUCUGGUUAAUGCCAGCGUAGGGAAGCCUUUAAUUACAAUA